rnacentral:rRNA from 1 species
CGCGUAGGCGGAUGUUACAGUCAGGCGUGAAAUUCCUGGGCUCAACCUGGGGGCUGCGUUUGAUACGUGAUGUCUGGAGUUCGGAAGAGGGUCGUGGAAUUCCCAGUGUAGAGGUGAAAUUCGUAGAUAUUGGGAAGAACACCGGUGGCGAAGGCGGCGACCUGGUCCGAUACUGACGCUGAGGCGCGAAAGCGUGGGGAGCAAACAGGAUUAGAUACCCUGGUAGUCCACGCUGUAAACGAUGUGCGCUGGAUGUUGGGUGACAUAGUCAUUCAGCGUCGUAGCUAACGCGAUAAGCGCACCGCCUGGGGAGUACGGCCGCAAGGUUGAA